ensembl:lncRNA
CAGCCCACGCUUUUUCACGCCUUAAAAAAAAAAAGAACAUAUCAAAUCCAAGAGAAGCAAAGGUAUUCCUUAUUCUGGUUGGGAACCCAAUCUUUUCAUCAACACUACCUUGGGCAGAGUGCUUUAUUUUUUUGCUCAGACUUCAUGGAACAUCUUCAAAGAGCCCAGCGUCCACUGGAGGAGCAUGGUGCUGAUUUACCGCACGUGAAAUCAAUGCUGCCUGCUCCCAGCGCCAUCUCAAGUCCCAGCAUAUUUCUAAUUGCCUGUUUUCUGACGGCGAGCUCUCUCCUUGCCCUCUGUGCUGCGACCUACUUCAAUAGGGCAUGCAGCUCACUCCCAUCCCUACAGCACUUUUCCUGGAUACAGAGAGAUGCUUUCUUGCUCCAGCGAAGGCUCUGCUGGAUUGGCAGGAGCUCUGUGACUGGGGAAUUACCUCUGUGUGCCUCGGCCUUGACUUGGUUUUGAUAUCUUGCUCCAGGCAAUAUGGAAGUACCUGUGAAAUGCAACGGAUGCAAUCCCCAAACGGUCACUUGAAGCUUUUCUCCCCAGGCGGGUGGGAAAAGCCUGGGCUAAGGUGGGCUGUCUGAGGGCAAGCAGGAUGGGCACUGUAUGGGAACCCAUAGGAGCAGUGGUGAGUGUGGACAACAUGCACUGCAGACAGCCUCCAAAGGGGGAGAAGCAGAUUAAACCCAUGAAAAAACGAUGGAAAAGCACAAAAAAGGAACAGGAACAUCCAGGCAGUGCCUUCUCAGAGCAAUGUGAGCCCAGAUGUUGCCCCAGAGCUCCCACAUCCACAUCCAUUACCACCGUGGGCAGGAUGGAACGGCAUCUGGUCAUCCCCUUGGGCACUGCAGCUCCAGGAGGCCAUGGUGACACUGAGCUCCCCGGGCUGCCCUCACGAACCCAUCCCGCACACUUGGAGAACCUCUUGACUGAUUUCUUCUCCCCUUUCCACCCAUCCCUGGGGUGCAGGAGAGUGGGACUUGUGCAGAGAGAUUAUCUUGAAGAGUUUUCACUCUGAUUUUGAGCAUAAUCAAAGGGUGAAGCUCACUUGAGGCUGUCAGUUGUUACUCAGCGAUGCUGCGCAGACUGAGCUCAUCUUCAUUCAGCGCAGCACACAUCCCCCAGCUGCCCC